ACAAGAACACAAGAACAUAACAAUCAAAAUCCAAGAGAUGAACUUCUCCAGAGAGUUUUUGUGUAUUUCUCAAUAGAUCAAAAGAUAAUCUGCCCUGGUGGCUACAAAAGAUGUUUAAAACAUAGGUUUUUGAAAUGUAAAACGUGCAUAAUAAAAUGACCAAAAGGCCCUUAAGUAAAAUAGAAAUCGACCCAACAAU
rnacentral:lncRNA from 1 species